GAGUUUGAUCCUGGCUCAGGACGAACGCUGGCGGCGUGCUUAACACAUGCAAGUCGAGCGGUAAGGCCCUUCGGGGUACACGAGCGGCGAACGGGUGAGUAACACGUGGGUGACCUGCCCUCAGCUCUGGGAUAAGCCUGGGAAACCGGGUCUAAUACCGGAUAGGACCUGCUUCUGCAUGGGAGUGGGUGGAAAGUUUUUUCGGCUGGGGAUGGGCCCGCGGCCUAUCAGCUUGUUGGUGGGGUGAUGGCCUACCAAGGCGACGACGGGUAGCCGGCCUGAGAGGGCGACCGGCCACACUGGGACUGAGACACGGCCCAGACUCCUACGGGAGGCAGCAGUGGGGAAUAUUGCGCAAUGGGCGGAAGCCUGACGCAGCGACGCCGCGUGGGGGAUGACGGCCUCGGUUGUAA
rnacentral:rRNA from 1 species